UACGGGGGGGGCAAGCGUUGUUCGGAAUUACUGGGCGUAAAGGGCGCGUAGGCGGCCUUCUAAGUCAGACGUGAAAUCCCUCGGCUCAACCGAGGAACUGCAUCUGAUACUGGAAGGCUUGAAUCCGGGAGAGGGAUGUGGAAUUCCAGGUGUAGCGGUGAAAUGCGUAGAUAUCUGGAGGAACACCGGUGGCGAAGGCGGCAUCCUGGACCGGUAUUGACGCUGAGGCGCGAAAGCUAGGGGAGCAAACGGG
rnacentral:rRNA from 1 species